rnacentral:rRNA from 1 species
UACAGAGGUCCCAAGCGUUUGUUCGGAUUUACUGGGCGUAAAGGGUGCGUAGGUGGUGAGGUAAGUCUAAUGUGAAAUCUCCGAGCUUAACUCGGAAACUGCAUCGGAUACUAUCUCGCUCGAGGGUUGGAGGGGAGACUGGAAUACUUGGUGUAGCAGUGAAAUGCGUAGAUAUCAAGUGGAACACCAGUGGCGAAGGCGAGUCUCUGGACAACUCCUGACACUGAGGCACGAAAGCUAGGGAGCA